AAAUGUGAUCUUUGAAGACUGAUGUGGAGUAGGGUUCCAUGUGAACAUUGAUUGGCCAUGGGUUAGCCAAGCACCAGCCUUUGGCGCGUGAUAGGGCUUUGGCCUCCCUGCGAAAGGGAUCACAAUAUUCCCGAGCCGGGUCGUGGAUACUGGGUGGCAACACAAGUGAACUUCCCGCAUGAGUGAGCCCCGGAAGCGUUUCUUUGCUUCCUUAACGUUUGCUGUCUCCGUGGAAUCGUUUGCGCGGCGAUACGGUGCCCGCAUAGCUGUCCGGCUUUCGGUCUGUCCAGUGCGCUCACGACGCCCUUGAAACGGGAAGGGAACGUUUUAUUCGCACCCCGUCCGUACCGAUAACCGCAUCAGGUCUCCUAGGUUAGCAGCCCUGGUCUCUAGAAUAAGGUAGAUUAUGGAAGUCGGCAAAAUGGAUCCGUAACUUCGAUAAGGAUUUCACUGAGGGCCGGGCGGUUAGCUGCCCCGCGCCGCGGUCUUGCCUUUCCUGCGGUCUCCAUCUCGGUCCGCGCUUUGGCUUUUCCUGCGCCGCGGGUCGCGUCCGCGAUGAACGCCAGCUCAGAACUGGAGCGGACAAGGGAACCGACUGUUUAAUUAAAACCAAGCAUUGCGAUGGCGCCGACGCGUGUUGACGCAAUGUGAUUUCUGCCCAGUGCUCUGAAUGUCAACGUGAUGAAAUUCAACCAAGCGCGGGUAAACGGCGGAGUAAAUAUGACUCUCUUAAGGUAGCCAAAUGCCUCGUCAUCUAAUUAGUGACGCGCAUGAAUGGAUUAACGAGAUUCCCACUGUCCCUAUCUGCCAUCUAGCGAACCCACAGCCAAGGAACGGGCUUGGCAAAUCAGCGGGGAAAGAAGACCCUGUUGAGCUUCACUCUAGUCCGGCUUUGUAGAGACGACUUGAGGGGUGUAGGAUAGGUGGGAGGCCCUGCCGCCGGUGAAAUACCACUACCCUUGAUGUUGUCUUGCUUUAUUCCGUAAUGAAAGGCCUUCUCGCCUUGAUUCUUCCGCGGAAGACAUAGCCAGGUGGGGAGUUUGGCUGGGGCGGUACAUCUGUUAAAAGAUAACGCAGGUGUCCAAGGCGAACUCAGUGAGGACAGAAAUCUCACGUGGACCAAAAGGGGAAAAGUUCGCUUGAUUUUGAUUUUCCAAAAAAUACAAACUGUGUAAGCAUACCUAUCGAUCCUUUGAGCCCGCGAGCAUUGCGCCAGAGGUGUCAGAAAAGUUACCACAGGGAUAACUGGCUUGUAGCCAAGCGUUCAUAUGCGACGUUGCUUUGAUCCUUCGAUGUCGGCUCUUCCUAUCAUUGAGAUGCAGAAGUCUCAAAGUGUCGGAUUGUUCACCCGCUAAUAGGGAACGUGAGCUGGGUUUAGAACCGUCGUGAGACAGGUUAGUUUUACCUUACUGAUGACUGCGCCGCGACAGUAAUUCCACCAGUACGAGAGGAACAGUGGAUUCGGAUACUUGGUUAAUGCGGUUGGCUGACCAGCAGUGCCGCGAAGCUACCAUCCGUUGGAUAAUGACUGAACGCCUCUAAGUCAGAAUCCAUGCUGGACCGUCGCCACCCACCGCUGGCGCGCGUUCGCGCCCGCAUAUGCUGCCCAGCAUCCUCGCCCGCAUCGGCUCUGUUCGAAGCACAAUUUUCAGCGCGCCAGCGAUGCAUCCUCCGCAGACGACCUUGACGCACCCGGGUAUUGUAAGCGCGAGAGUGGGCUUGACUCACGAUCCGCUGAGGUUCAGCCCGGCGUGCUUGAUGUGUAUCACACACAACACUAUUCGGGGUUAUCUAACGAGCAACUCCGUUGCCGCGUGCAACGAUUUAGCACGAGCAAAGCGAAGUGCAAACGAGACGUAGUCGAGUUACCAGGAGACUUGGCGACUGGUCGUCACAAGCAACCUUGGUUGCGCAGUGACUACAACCACAACACUCUCUGGCGAAGCCAUUAACCAAACAUUAAAUGAGUCGGCGAAGCCAGCCGUCUCUAAGGUGCUUUUAGUGAACGAGUGUCAACGAGUCGUGAUUUUGGGCGCAGCGGAGCGAGCAUCCAAUAAACCGGAUUGAGGUGUGACUAACUGUGGAUUAUGUGUAUUCGGCGCAGCCAGCCGUAUCUAGCAACCAUCUCACGUACGAGCUAUGCGAGGUGAGAUGUAACAGCGAGUGCCAACGAGUCGUGAUUUUGGGCGCAGCGGAGCGAGCAUCCAAUAAACCGGAUUGAGGUGUGACUAACUGUGGAUUAUGUGUAUUCGGCGCAGCCAGGUGUAUCUAGCAACCAUCUCACGUACGAGCAGGGCGAGUCGAGGAAUAAGGGCGCAGCGAAGCGAGCAUCCAAUAAAGCGCACAAAGAUGAUGAGGGUAACCGCGGAUCAAGGUCCUAACAAGGCCUCUCAAGCAGCGGUGACCGACCGUGUCACCAGCAACGUCCGUUGCCGCGACAAGGCGUCUCUCACGAGCAACCCAGGUUGCGAAGUGAUGCCAUAUCUGACGAGCCAAGCGAGGAAUAAGGGCGGAACGCAGUGGAGCCUAUAAAUCAGGAGACAUAGGUGCGAUCAAGGUGAUUUAGGGUGGCGGAGCCACUCACUAAGCCUACAGAAGGCGCUGCUGAGUGAAGGCGUCACACGGUGGCGGAGCCACAUACUACGCCAAGGCGGAGGCCACGCACUAUGACAAUUUUAUACGUAUAACAGCUACCGGGGUGCCCGCCACGCGGGCCCCACCGCCCGGCUGCCUCGGUCCCCCGCUCAGUCGCCGUCGGUGCCGCCAGGCCCGGCGCGGCUCCCCUCCGCAGCCACCAUACAGGUACGUGUGGGAUACUCAUCUGUGUGGUGUAUUGCCGUUAUUGUGUGUGUUACUACAUCAUUGAUUGUGUUGUUGCUCCGCUGUGUCUAGGCACUUCACUGGGUGUGUUUUUACUUCACGGCGAUUGUGUGGUUCUAUAUCACUGUGCCCUUGUUCAUUUUUAUGCGUGCCGAGAUGACAACCUCUUCUCCUUCCGCUGACGCGUGAUGUCUCCUCUAAGAAGCGCUGAGCACGCCGUGAUGACACCUCUGUCAAUCCCCCGAACCCUGACGAAAACACACACUGAUCACGUGCGCAGACCUACAUGGACUCAGCGGCAACGCUCACUCAUGCCCACGCAGAUGGUACAACUCACAGCGGAGGUUAUGAAGUCUCAACAGCACGAGGCAUUGUAUGCCUGUGCUGCGGACAAGAUAACUCACGGUGAUUCUGCGGACAACAAGAUAAAUCACGGUGAUUCUGCGGACAACAAGAUAACUCACGGUGAUUCUGCGGACAACACAAGACGCGUCGUCACCAUCAACCUGUAUAAUAUCAUAUCAUAUCAUAUCGCAUUUGUAUUGCUAGUUCAUGUGUACGUGGUUUUUACAACAGUGCGUGACCACCGUCUGACUGUCGUCUCAUGCAUUUUAGCGGUGGGUGGUAUUUUCAUGGCUGUGUUCUUAUUGAGCGAUUGCUAGUCUCCUUGCUGGUUCUAGAGGAUAAACUACCCGUGAGUGUGAUAGGUUAACCGAGGACUGCGAUCGACAGGCCCAGCACGAACGCUGCGUUCAGGCAGGUGCAGAGCGCGUCGAAGCCGCUGGCUGUCUUCUCGCGAAGGUUGCUUUUGCCGUCGCCCUCCCCAGCCGGUUCAGUCGCGUUGACGGGCGCCUCGAGACCCUCCUUGCUUUUAUUGGACGCAGCGGACGCUGAGGGGUUACCUUCUUCCUUGCUGGCAGGAACAUCACCACUUGGAGCGGCGGUUACAACACUUGGCGCUGUCGUGACCUUGAGGGCACUGGGCGUUUUGUCCACACUCAUUCUACUUCCAGGCUGUUCGGCACUCAGCGCUGCAGCUUUCUCCAAGCCACUUGACGUGGUCGAAGGCAUGUCAACAGUUGGCUCCGCGGUCGCCAUAUUCUCAGUGGCCAGCUUAUCGGUAGGAUACUGUUCACCGGCUGCCUCACGUACAUCCGUGGAAGCAUCACCUUCGACGCCUGGUACGGCGGUCUCCGCACUGCUUGCACUAGCAUCACCGGCACCCGGCGAAGCGGCAUCCUCGACUGACCCCGCUGGUGGCGUGGUAGCUCCACGUGACUCUUCACUACUUCCCGAAUCACCGCCGGCGAGGCUAAUCAGUCGGUCUGCAACGUGGCUCAUCAUUUCGCGUCUGUAACCGAUGCUUUCGAACGAGGCGCCCAGCAGGAUUCCAUUAUGAAUGUCCGCUCUGAGCUCGAAGUACGCGUGCCACAGCUGCUCUCUGUCAGCCCCGGAUUCAGACGCUACAUUGCCCUUCACAAACCUCAGGAGCCCACGCACUCGCUCCGCAUUCGUGAUCAAGUCACCGAACUGAUUCAAAACCAGGUGCAUCUCAUCCUUAAGGUCAUCGUACCUUGCGCGCAUACUUUCGAAGACAGUUGAAGAGGCGGCAGAAGGGGUGAUGGAGGCCAAGGCUUUGCCCACUUUGGCCAUGUCCAUCGACACCGAUCCACGCAAUUUCACGUAGGGACCCAGGUACCUAUCCAGGGCCCGGCACGAUUCCGACACAAGGCGCGCCAUCUCGUUCAGAAGUUCUUCGGGCGCAUGCACCUGGGUCUUGGCAUCUUUUGGCACGAACGUGCGGUGCAGGUCCGCGUAGAAGUCAAGCAUGAGUCCGCGCACGGCCGACGUGUUGGCAAAGACACGGUGCGCUCUUUUCGAAAUACAAGAGCCUACGUAUUCGGAUAUGUACUCAUUUGCAGACGACGUAAGGUGCCUUUUGCUGUAGGCGUCAAUCUCAUCAAUCUUUGACUUCGACCCGUCAAUCACACCACGGAUCACGUCAGUGGUGACCUGCAGUUUAGCCAACCCGCUUCGCAAAUCCCCGCUACUGGAGUCACGCGGAAUGAGUUCCCCAGAGGAUACAACCGUUAAGUUAGCUCGCACAUAUUUGGUAUCCUUCAUCACAUCCCUCAACAGGCUUUUGGUGUAGACAACGAGCAGCGUCAGCUCCGCGUGGCUGGCGUUGUGCGGCAGUGUCGGAUCGAAGUGGUCCAAUACGGCUUCGUCAGUGACCUCGGGUGCUGCCGCAUCGGAAUUGGCCACCGCGGCUUUCGCCAUGGACUCGCGCAGGAGGUUUAUCUUCGCCUCGAACUCAUUGCGUUCUUCCUCAGUCAUGACCCGGUGUGGGAGCACAUCCGUCAGGAUGCUGGCAAUCUUGU